UACGUAGGGUGCGAGCGUUAAUCGGAAUUACUGGGCGUAAAGCGUGCGCAGGCGGUCUUGUAAGUCAGAUGUGAAAUCCCCGGGCUUAACCUGGGAACUGCGUUUGAAACUACAAGGCUAGAGUGUGGCAGAGGGGGGGUGGAAUUCCACGUGUAGCAGUGAAAUGCGUAGAGAUGUGGAGGAACACCGAUGGCGAAGGCAGCCCCCUGGGUUAACACUGACGCUCAGGCACGAAAGCGUGGGGAGCAAACAGG
rnacentral:rRNA from 1 species